UACGCUCCGGCUGCUGGUGGUUCGCCGGGUCUGUGGGGAUCCGGCGAGGCAAGAGGGAACCCGGUGCGAAUCCGGGACUGCCCCGCAGCGGUGAGCGGGAACGACCGCCGUCAUCGAGCACUGGACGCGCCGCGUCCGGGAAGCGACGGCCAGUAGGUCCGCCGGAUAUCCCGGCGGGUGCCCGCGAGUCCGAAGACCUGCCACCGGUCCUUGCGCCGC
rnacentral:ncRNA from 2 species